rnacentral:rRNA from 1 species
UACGAAGGGUGCAAACGUUGCUCGGAAUUAUUGGGCGUAAAGCGCACGUAGGCGGCUUAGCAAGUCGGAAGUGAAAUCCCUCGGCUCAACCAAGGAAGUGCUUUCGAAACUGGCGAGCUUGAGUACGAAAGAGGAUCGCGGAAUUCCCGGUGUAGAGGUGAAAUUCGUAGAUAUCGGGAGGAACACCGGUGGCGAAGGCGGCGAUCUGGGUCGAUACUGACGCUGAGGUGCGAAAAGCGUGGGGAGCAAACAGG